rnacentral:rRNA from 1 species
GACGAACGCUGGCGGCGUGCUUAACACAUGCAAGUCGAACGGAAAGGCCCUGCUUUUGUGGGGUGCUCGAGUGGCGAACGGGUGAGUAACACGUGAGUAACCUGCCCUUGACUUUGGGAUAACUUCAGGAAACUGGGGCUAAUACCGGAUAGGAGCUCCUGCUGCAUGGUGGGGGUUGGAAAGUUUCCGCGGUUGGGGAUGGACUCGCGGCUUAUCAGCUUGUUGGUGGGGUAGUGGCUUACCAAGGCUUUGACGGGUAGCCGGCCUGAGAGGGUGACCGGCCACAUUGGGACUGAGAUACGGCCCAGAAUCCUACGGGAGGCAGCAGUGGGGAAUAUUGCAAAAUGGGCGGAAGCCUGAUGCAGCAACGCCGCGUGCGGGAUGACGGCCUUCGGGUUGUAAACCGCUUUCGCCUGUGACGAAGCGUGAGUGACGGUAAUGGGUAAAGAAGCACCGGCUAACUACGUG